AUGGAAGUGAUGAUCCUUUCCCCAUAUUAUCGACACUGAUUAUAAUAUGCGUUUAUAUAUCUCUUUAUGAGAUGUAUCAAGCCAGGACUCUGAUCCAA